AUUCUGGCUCAGAUUGAACGCUGGCGGCGUGCUUAACACAUGCAAGUCGCGCGUGAAAGGACUUCGGUCCGAGUAAAGCGGCGCACGGGUGAGUAACGCGUGGAUGAUCUACCCAUGAGUUAGGAAUAACGGCUGGAAACGGUCGCUAAUACCAAAUACGCUCCGAUUUCAACUUCGGGGGAAAGGUGGCCUCUGCUUGCAAGCUACUGCUCAUGGAUGAGUCCGCGUCCCAUUAGCUAGUUGGUGGGGUAACGGCCCACCAAGGCGACGAUGGGUAGCCGGUCUGAGAGGAUGACCGGCCACACUGGGACUGGAACACGGCCCAGACUCCUACGGGAGGCAGCAGUGGGGAAUAUUGCGCAAUGGGCGAAAGCCUGACGCAGCGACGCCGCGUGAGGGAUGAAAGGUCCUCGGAUCGUAAACCUCUGUCAGGAGGGAAGAACCGCCACGGUGCUAAUCAGCCGUGGUCUGACGGUACCUCCAAAGGAAGCACCGGCUAACUCCGUGCCAGCAGCUGC
rnacentral:rRNA from 1 species